rnacentral:hammerhead_ribozyme from 1 species
GCACUUCUGAGGAGUCCAACAAUAGGGCGAAACAGGCGUCUAGUGC